rnacentral:lncRNA from 1 species
UUUUUUUCAACUCCAGCAUCCGGCUUAAACCUACAACACAAGAUCAAACGGUAAUUUCAUCGGGAACAGUAAAAUAGUAAUGGAAAAAUGAGUAACGUUAUUAUAUUUAGAAAUCUUACGCUCUCGCAAUUGGAACCAUAUAAAUCCUCCCAGAAUCAUCUCUGUCUCCUAGCUGCCUAGUAAGCGAUGGUGGAUGCACUGGCAUGGGAGAUCGAAAGCACCAGAUGGAGUGCCUCCAAGCUGAAGAUCCAACAACCCAAUAGAUCCAGUAGAAUUACUAUGCGAAGCUGCGUGACUGCUGCAGGAGGGUAUCGAUGAUAGUAGAUAACUGGAGAGGCCAGCGGCCGUCCGAUAGUACCAAAAUUUAAGCAUUUUCAACAAAUAAAGUCACCAACAACAUCACCUCCUAAACAGUAGUUCACUAUUAAAGUCACCAAAACUUAAGCUUUUUUAACUAACAAAGGCACCAACGAAACUAAUUCACUAUUAAAGUCACCAAAAGUUAAGCAUUUUCAACAAAUAAAGUCACCAACAACAUACCUUCUAAACACUAAUUAGUAUUAAAGUCACCGACACUUAAGCAUUUUCAACAAAUAAAGUCACCAAUAACAUCACCUUCUAAACAAAAGUUCACUUUUAAAGUCACCAAAACUUAAGCAUUUUCAACUAAUAAAGUCACCAACCACAUCAUCUCUUAAACAUUAAUUCACUAUUAACGUCACAAAAACUUAAGCAUUUUCAACAAAUAAAGUCACUAACAACAUCACCUCCUAAACACUAGUUCACUAUUAAAGUCACCAAAACUUAAGCUUUUUCAACUAACAAAGCCACCAAUGAAACUAACUUCUAAACAAUAAUUCACUAUUAAAGUCACCGGCACUUAAGCAUUUUCAACAAAUAAAGUAACCAACAACAUCACCUUCUAAACAAAAGUUGACUUUUAAAGUCACCAAAACUUAAGCAUUUUCAACUAAUAAAGUCACCAACCACAUCACCUCCUAAACACUAAUUCACUAUUAAAGUCACCAAAACUUAAGCAUUUUCAACAAAUAAAGUCACCAACUAAACCAUUUUCAAGCAACUAAGUAUCAAAACAAAAGCACAUUCAAAACAAAAAAAUACCCUUCAAAGUCCCUAGACUUAAACCAUUUUCGAGUAACUAAGUGGCCUAACAAACCAUAUUCAAAACAAAAAAAAUUUCCUUCAAUGUCCCUACACUUAACCAUUUUCAAGUUACUAAGUCGUCAAACAAGUCACAUUCAAAACACAAAAUCCCCUUCAAAGUUCCUACUCUUAACCACUUUCAAUCUACCAUGUCACCCUUAAAGUCCCUACACUUAAUCAUUUUCAACCUACCUAGUCACCAAAUUAUUUUCAACCUACCAAGCCCCUAAACAUUCAAGAUCAAGUUCACAAUACAAUUUUCAAGCAACAACAAAACCAACAAGCUAUCAAGAACAAUGCUAAUGAAUCGCACAAGGCCACACACGACUUUACUAGACUUCAAUAUGAACAAUCAAAGAAAGAUAACAACAAUAGUGAAUCGCACAAGGCCCCACACAGCUUCACUAUGUCCACAUACCUUUGAUAUUUUUUUUUAAUUUCUUGAUAUUUCAAAAUGGAAGCUUCAAUCUGCUUAUAGAUUCUCUCACGGGAAAUUGCAAUAUAGAAAAUAAUGAGCUUAGCAAAUUAAAAGAUACACAACUCCAUUUUCAACGGAUCUUAAACUUGUGAUCUUAAACAUACCGCAUUACUUAUGUGGUUAAGAAAAAAUGUAUUAAGAAUAAAAUAGAAACUUUAAAGUUAAGGUGUUUUCAAAUAUAAAAUUGCGUCAAUUGUUUUUUUUUUUGUUUUGAGAAUGAACUAGCAAAAGAACAAUGUCACACAAAAUAGAAUGGGUUCUGAAUUUCAAAAUGGCUACUUCAAGGGUUAAUAACUGGGUUCUAAAUUUAAUAUUUGUACAUAUUUAAUGAAUUUCUUGACACAAUGCACUAUUUGAGCAAAAGCUACAGAGUACCCGAGCUUCUAGCUCUGCCUAGUUUGUGAUGACCCUUUCCACAUUCAUAGUGAAACAAAUGUUAAAAAAGGCAUUAAACUAGUUACCUAUAAAGUAGCAUGAGUAUAGAG